GCUCUCUUUACUUCAACUUGCUUACCAUUCAAAUCGUGAAAAGUUUUGUGCAAGACCUGGUCAACAGCAUCCUCACUGUCAAAGGAAAUAAAUCCAAAUCCACGAGGCCGUUGGGUGUUCUGGUCAUACAUUAUUACUACAUCAGUAACAUGGCCAUAAGCUUCAAAAUACUGACGGAAUCCAUCAUCAGUAAGAGUGGGAGGCAACCCUCCAACAAAAAUCUUUUUGGUCCUGAUAUUUCC
rnacentral:misc_RNA from 1 species